CUACGGGCCGCUCCAGUCGAGAAUAGUCUACAAUGGACGAAAGUCUGAUAGUGCGACGCCGCGUGGAUGAAGAAGCAUUUCGGUGUGUAAAGUCCUUUUCUGUGUGAGCAAUGUUUUCCAGGUUAAUAGCUUGGAGAAAGCGAUAUUAACACAGGAAUAAGCUCCGGCUAACUCCGUGCCAGCAGCCGCGGUAACACGGGGGGAGCAAGCGUUGUCCGGAAUUACUAGGCGUAAAGGGUAAGUAGGCGGAAUUGUAAGUCAGAUGUUAAAGGCACCGGCUCAACCGGUGUAUGGCAUUUGAUACUGUAAUUCUAGAGUAAGGUGGGGGAAGACGGAAUUCCUGGUGUAGCGGUGGAAUGCGCAGAUAUCAGGAGGAACACCAGAGGCGCAAGCGGUCUUCUAUACCAUUACUGACGCUCAAUUACGAAGGUGUGGGUAUCAAACAGGAUUAGAUACCCGGGUAGUC
rnacentral:rRNA from 1 species